rnacentral:rRNA from 1 species
GUCGAGAAUAAUUCACAAUGGGGGCAACCCUGAUGGAGCAACACCGCGUGCUGGAUGAAGGCCUUCGGGUCGUAAACAGCUUUUGUAUACGAAGAAUAUGACGGUAAUAUACGAAUAAGGGUCGGCUAACUACGUGCCAGCAGCCGCGGUCAUACGUAGGACCCAAGCGUUAUCCGGAGUGACUGGGCGUAAAGAGUUGCGUAGGCGGCUUAUUAAGCGAGUAGUGAAAUCUGGUGGCUCAACCAUCAACACAUUGCUCGAACUGAUAGGCUUGAGAAUGGUAGAGGUAGUUGGAAUUUCUUGUGUAGGAGUGAAAUCCGUAGAUAUAAGAAGGAACACCAAUGGCGUAGGCAGACUACUGGACCAUUUCUGACGCUGAGGCACGAAAGCGUGGGGAGCGAACCGGAUUAGAUACCCCUGUAGUCC